UUACGUGUCACUCUCCCACUGAACCUCACAUUUAUGACUCUCUCUCUCUCUCUCUCUCUCUAUCUCUCUCUCGACGGCUUCGUCGAAGUUCUUUGUCGAAAUCAGUUUGGAUUCCUCCUCCAAUGUCGAUCUAUCCAUCUUCUCUCUCGAUUCUCUCUUGAGAUCACUCCAUCUUCGAUUGUAAAAGACCAAAGGCAAAUCCAAUCGACAUCACUCCAUGUUCUCUGUCUGGAUUCAAAGACGGUUCUGUUUUCUUUCAUCGAAGAGCUUCACCGAAGAUGGAUUCAAGGAGGAAGCAGAUGAUCUUAUCAAGUCUCUGUAUUGUCUUUUGAAAUUAGACGAAGGAGUUGGAGUUCGUAUAGUGAAUUGCUCAAGCUUAGUGGAUCAGUCGAAGCUUGUUUCUGGGACCAUAGUUACUCUUCAGAGAACAACGUUUACUAUAAUCAGAAUCCUCCCUCCUAAGGCAAGAAGCUUACCAACGGAUAAGCUGCGGAUAACCUAUAUAUCAGUCAAUGUGGCUGUUUAUUGGCUCAGGUUGUUAUAUGGGUAUUCAUCUGGGUAAAUGAUAACAGCACUGUGGAGUUAGUUGGAAAGAUAUUUAUGUCAGUUGUGUCUUUCAUCGCUGCGUUAGGCUUCUUGCUGUACGGAGGAAGAUUGUUUAUUAUGCUAAUAAGGUUCCCUAUUGAGUCAAAAGGAAGAAGGAAGAAGCUCCAUGAGGUUGGAUCUGUGACAGCCAUAUGCUUCACCUGCUUCCUCAUAAGAUGCAUUGUGGUGGGUGUAUCAGCUUUUGACAGGGAUUUCAACUCUCUCUCUUUAUCAUGAACUCUAUUCUUAAAGCAGAACGGGAGUCACAGGUUCUAAUGGAUGGAGGUGGUCUAAGUCCCAACUUUUGGGAUUACAAGAGUAUUUAUAUGUCUUUUGUAAACCUAAUGGUUUCCAUUAAAAAGUCUAAAAAGCCCUUUAAAAACAUUAAAAUUCGACUAAGGAUAAGUCUCGACUCGGGUAGAAACGAUCGGGAACAACCCGCGUCACUCAACCCGCGUCGGAUCGUCGUCGAGGCUUCUCCUUCAUGUGAACGGGUAGGCGAUCCCGCGUUGCUUCACCCCGCGGACUCCAUCGUUUGCUUCUCUUCGUAUGCGGGUAAGGGAACCCGCAUGAUCCAACCCGCGUCAAGACGUCGAGCAGCCUCAUUCUCAUGCGUGCGGGUGCGGCUUCCCACGUGAUCUAAGCCGCGUUAGAGCUCUUCAUUGCGUCAUCUGGAUGAGUUGACGCGGGCUAGUGAACCCGCGUGGGUCAACCCGCGUUGCACUCAUCCAAACUUGACCAAACUCCAUUCUUCAUCCCUUUUUGAGCCACAAUGCUUCUAAACACCUCUAAUCACUCCAUAGGACACUCUGAUACCUGAUAGAGACAUAUGAAUGCAAUAUGGAUCUUAAUGAUGCUUAAUUCCUAAUCUAUAUGAUCAAUGUGUACAAAAUGGAUGGUUAAAACAAUGCAAAUAUAGUUGAUAUUAGAUUCUGCGGACAAACUAAAAUCUAAAAGAUGGUCGUAGCAAUGUAGAAUCUCAGCGGGGCAUAACGGGGAGGUACGAUAGAUCGUAAUGGUAUCAGUGGAGUAGAGGUGGCGAAGUGUGACUAUGGACGCAGCGUUACAGAAAAUGCAACAGUGGGGUUGGAGGGUGACGAUGGAUUGGACGGGACCGGAUGACAGCCGCGGACCGGACGCAUAAAUUUCAUCGGAGAUAGUAGAAACCAUAUCCAGCCAGAGAGUGAAGAGCGUCACGGCUGUGUGGGAGGUGGCGGUGAUGGCUUGCGACCCAGAAGAAACAACGAGGCUGUAGAUGUUAAAGUUGAGGAUAACCAGAACGGAGCAGAGAAGUCGCGUGGGGGCGCAGCCGGUGCGGAGAGGUUGCAGAGGAUGUAAAGAGCUCGGAGGCGCGAAGAAACUAACUGAUCCGGAGAGCUCAACCACAUGGUGAGCAGAUCUGUCUCUUACACUCCCAGUUUGAGGAAAGUAUGGGUUUUGUGGUGUCCGAUCAGGAGCAUAGUGGAAGAGACGAGUCCGUUUGGUGGUUCUCGGGUGGAUAUUUGUUGUUUACCCAGUAGAUCCCGGACCAUAGCCUAUUUCCGGUGGAUUCGAGACCAUAUACUGAGGCUGUGGAGGUCAACUCCGGCGGCGCCGAGUAAAGGUCUAGACCGAACAGUAAUAGUUUCGUGAGCAGCAGAAAGCAGGUGAUAGAGUAUGAGAAGACCAUGACUAUGAAGAGGAGAGAGAGCUUCAGCGGUGAGUCCCAGCGCCGACGGGAAACGCCUUCACCGACGCCGGAAAAAGAGGCUCUUGACUCUGUCUCGAUGUUUCGUGCCUGAGAGUUGCAGGGCGAACGUUUUAGUUUUCACUAGUGAAAUUCAUGAGCUAAUUUAACAUCUUGAAAGUGAUUUUUUGGAUGUUUUUGUUUAACAAAUAUGGCAGAAGAUAUGGUAGUUGAUGUUCUUGUAAGAUUUACUCACACAUAAUUUAUUUUGUGAAUUUAAGCGCUUUAUUUGGAAUCGCACAACUUGCUUUAGGCAAUGCUGACAAAGAAAAAGGGGUCGAUAUCAAGAACUUUGUCCCAUCAACCAAGAACACAAAACAAGGAGAUUAUAUGACAUAAAAAAAUGCUACUUAAACAUGAAGCAACAAACUACUGCAUGAAAAACAUAUAUAUAUCCAGCACUUAAACAUGGCCUAGGUAUCUGAAGCAAAGACCUUAGUCAAAUCCUUUGUUAGAUUUUGAAACACGAGUUGGUAUAUGCAUAGACAAACGAGCACACCAACCAUGGAAUGUAUAAAUGGAGAAUUGUACAAGGGAUCAUGGUCCAACCUAGCUUAAAUAAUGAUAUCCUUACAAACAAAACCGAUCAUUAAUAUUAAUUAUUAAUGGGAAAUUAGUAAAUAUGAAACAAAAAUACAACUACAUUGUCCCUAUACUAUAAAUCCAACUAUAAGUUGUCCUUAUGCCAUAAUUUUUUGUGAUAACCCAAUUAAACUCCUAUUAUUAACCCAUUUCCAUUUUUAUUAAUUCAGUUAUUCAAAAAAAUUAAUAAUUCAGUUAUUAAACAAAUGAAAAGAUUAAGUUUAAUAAAUUAAUUUUUUUUUGGAAAAAUAGCAACACUCAUUUAGCCCCAAAUCGGGUCUCCCACGAACCCUAAAUCAAAUUUUCUCUUUCUCUUGACCAGAGAAAAACAAAGCCAAGUCAAGGCGAUUGAUCUCGACGGUGCUUCACUUCGCCAUCACCGGAGUUUCUUCUUUCUUCUAGGACUCUGCUAGUCUUCCUUUUCGUAAUCGAAGUCUCCUACACCUCUUGCUCACUUCGUGAUCUCUUUCUCAAAAUCUCGCCGGAAAAUCAAUUUGUGCCUCGCUGAGUCUACAAUAUAUACUCUCAGCUCUUAUUUUAAGCCUAAGAAUCGAGCUUUUCAAGUCUGUAAAAUUACUUGUCGUUUGUUUUGCAUGUCUUUUUCUCUCUUUGAUUUGAGUGUUUUUAUCAUAGUUUGAGUGUGAUAGCUUUCAAUCUUAGUUUGUGUCAAUGAUUUAGGCUUAUAUGCUAUCAAAGUUUCAUACUUUUUGAUUUUUGUCAUCGCUUAUGUUAUCAAAGUUACAUACUUUAUGAUUUUUAUCAUCAAA